GCCGCGGUGGUGGAAUUGGUAGACACGCCAGAUUUAGGAUCUGGUGCACUUUGUGCGUGAAGGUUCGAGCCCUUUCCGCGGUACGA
rnacentral:tRNA from 1 species